GAAACGGUGGCUAAUACCGCAUAACGUCGCAAGACCAAAGAGGGGGACCUUCGGGCCUCUUGCCAUCAGAUGUGCCCAGAUGGGAUUAGCCAGUUGGUGAGGUAACGGCUCACCAAAGCGACGAUCCCUAGCUGGUCUGAGAGGAUGACCAGCCACACUGGAACUGAGACACGGUCCAGACUCCUACGGGAGGCAGCAGUGGGGAAUAUUGCACAAUGGGCGCAAGCCUGAUGCAGCCAUGCCGCGUGUAUGAAGAAGGCCUUCGGGUUGUAAAGUACUUUCAGCGGGGAGGAAGGCGAYACGGUUAAUAAGCGUGUCGAUUGACGUUACCCGCAGAAGAAGCACCGGCUAACUCCGUGCCAGCAGCCGCGGUAAUACGGAGGGUGCAAGCGUUAAUCGGAAUUACUGGGCGUAAAGCGCACGCAGGCGGUCUGUCAAGUCGGAUGUGAAAUCCCCGGGCUCAACCUGGGAACUGCAUCCGAAACUGGCAGGCUUGAGUCUUGUAGAGGGGGGUAGAAUUCCAGGUGUAGCGGUGAAAUGCGUAGAGAUCUGGAGGAAUACCGGUGGCGAAGGCGGCCCCCUGGACAAAGACUGACGCUCAGGUGCGAAAGC
rnacentral:rRNA from 1 species